rnacentral:misc_RNA from 1 species
GAUGAAGAACGCAUCGAAAUGCGAUAAGUAGUGUGAAUUGCAGAAUUAAGUGAAUCAUCGAAUCUUUGAACGCACAUUGCGCCCCUUGGUAUCCCGAGGGGCAUGCCUGUUCGAGCGUCAUUUCACCACUCAAGCCUGGCUUGGUGUUGGGCGACGUCCUCUUUGGGGACGCGCCUCGAAACGCUCGGCGGCGUGGCACCGGCUUUAAGCGUAGCAGAAUCUUUCGCUUUGGAAGUCGGGGCCCCGUCUGCCGGAAGACCUGCUCGCAAGGUUGACCUCGGAUCAGGCAGGGAUACCCGCUGAACUUAAGCAUAUCAAUAAGCGGAGGA